UUGAUCAUGGCUCAGAUUGAACGCUGGCGGCAGGCCUAACACAUGCAAGUCGAGCGGCAGCACAGAGAAACUUGUUUCUCGGGUGGCGAGCGGCGGACGGGUGAGUAAUGCCUGGGAAAUUGCCCUGAUGUGGGGGAUAACCAUUGGAAACGAUGGCUAAUACCGCAUGAUGCCUACGGGCCAAAGAGGGGGACCUUCGGGCCUCUCGCGUCAGGAUAUGCCCAGGUGGGAUUAGCUAGUUGGUGAGGUAAGGGCUCACCAAGGCGACGAUCCCUAGCUGGUCUGAGAGGAUGAUCAGCCACACUGGAACUGAGACACGGUCCAGACUCCUACGGGAGGCAGCAGUGGGGAAUAUUGCACAAUGGGCGCAAGCCUGAUGCAGCCAUGCCGCGUGUGUGAAGAAGGCCUUCGGGUUGUAAAGCACUUUCAGUUGUGAGGAAGGUGGUGUCGUUAAUA
rnacentral:rRNA from 1 species